ensembl:lncRNA
UGAGUUCAAAUCCAGCCUCAAACAUUUACUAGCUAGGUGACUUUGAACAAGUCACUGAAUAUGUUUGCCUCAGUUUCUUCUAGUUUAAAAUAGGGAUAAAAAUAGCACCUUUUCCCUAGGGUUGUUGUAAGGAUAAAAUGUGAUAAUAUUUGUAAAGCACUUAGCAGAAUGCCUGGCACAUAAUAGGGCUACAUAAAUACUUCCUGUUAUUAUGUAUCCUUGAUUCAGUUACUGACUAUAAAGGCACAAACCACAGAUUCAUUCAAACACUUAUUAACUGCCUACUGUAUGCUAGAUCCUAGAAGGGCAAUAAUAAUGAUAGCUCACAUUUAUAUAGCAUAUAUUACAUAUAUCUGUAUCUAUAGAUCACUUUAUAUUAUCUUAUUUAAUACUCACAAAAACCCUGAAUGGUAGGUGUUAUUACUAUCCCCAUUUUAUAGGUGAAGAAACAGACAGAGAGAUUAAGUGACUUGGUCUCUUGGUGUCUAAGACAGUAUUUGAACCUGGGUCUUUCUGAUUCCAAGACCAGGACUCUCUAGUUUACACAAGAUCAUCCCUGCCCUCAUGGAUUUUAUAUUCCAGUAGGAAGAUUAGAAACAAAUACAAGUAUAGCACAUACUACAUGAUAAAUGGAGCAUUACAUGAGAGGUGUAAAGCACCCUGAGAAGGAAAACUUGGGAGAGCAUUACAGAACUGGGGAAGGGGAAAGGAUAAAGGAAAGUCAUCAUCUGAGUUGCUAUUAAUUGUUUGAGUGGAAGGGGCCUUAAUCCACCUCUCUCCUCUUUACAGACAAAGAACCUAAAUCCAAGAAGGACUUAUCAAAGGUCACACACACAGUCAGGUAACAGAAGUGGGAUUUGAACCCAGGUCUUUUGACUCCAAAUCCAUUGAUCUUUCUACUAUAUCACACUUCUUGCCUCACAGCAGAGUACUCGCCAAGUCAGAUUAGUGUGCACUACCAUGGAACAGACCAGACAAAUGAGGGAAGGAGUACAAUCUGGAGCUUAUGUGUAGCAACCAGUUUAGUGUCAAGACCUGAAGAAGAGUUAAAACUUCCUGGGACUUUGGGAAAUCUGAGAUUUCAUCAUAAAGUUCAACAACCAACAGUCCUAAGCAACCUAAUCUAGAAAAUAUGAAUUGCAAUGUGACCUGCUGGACCAGGAAUCAGAAAUCCUGAAUUCUAGUAAUGGCUCUGCUACUAACUUUCUGUGUCACCUUAAACAAGUCGUUUCAUCUUUCAGCCUCAGUUUUCUUAUCUGUAAAAAAGAAUUUUGCAGGAACAAGACUUGUUAAGUUGUAGUGGGAAUUCUUGAGAGGAGUCCAACUCCUCACGUACAUGUUGGUUUUUCAUAUUUAAAUGUUUCACUUGGUUUUGGUUUUUUGGAUUUCUUUGUUUGUUUGUUUGUUGUUGUUGUUUUGGGGGGAGUUUGAACAGGUGUCCUCUGAGGUCCUUUUCAACUCCAAGAUUUUAUAAUUCAUUGAUAGCUGUGAGGCCUUUGACCUCUCUUUAACUUCUCUGAGACUCAGUUUCUUCAUCUUUCAAAUCAAUAGAUGACCUUUAAAGUUCCUUCCUGGUCUAACUCUUAUGGUCAUAGGUGAUGCCACCAUAUGUAGAGUAUGUUCCCUCUUCUUAGAACUCUCAGCUUCUCUCAAAGCUCAUUUCAGGUGCCACUUCCCAUAUGAAGCCUAAUACCCCUGCCUUACAGGGGUUUUGUGAAGAGCAAAUGAGAGUAUAGAAAUGAAAACUCUUUGAAAAGUUAAAGCUUUGUACCAAUUAAAAUGGUAUUUCUAUUUGCCAAUGUUGCCGCAUGUUUCUGCAAGAGCACUAAAUAACA